UACAGAGGGUGCGAGCGUUGUCCGGAAUCACUGGGCGUAAAGGGCGCGUAGGUGGCGUCGCAAGUUGAUGGUGAAAGCCCGGAGCUCAACUCCGGGUCGGCCGUCGAGACUCCUCGGCUCGAGCUCACUAGAGGCAGAUGGAAUUCCGGGUGUAGCGGUGGAAUGCGUAGAGAUCCGGAAGAACACCGGUGGCGAAGGCGGUCUGCUGGGGUGAGGCUGACGCUGAACUGCGAAAGCUAGGGGAGCGAACGGG
rnacentral:rRNA from 1 species